AAAGCGAACGCUGGCGGCGUGCUUAACACAUGCAAGUCGAGCGGAAAGGCCCUUCGGGGUACUCGAGCGGCGAACGGGUGAGUAACACGUGAGCAACCUGCCCUUAGCUUCGGGAUAGCUCCGGGAAACCGGAAUUAAUACCGAAUAUGACUGCGGCUGACAUCAGCCACGGUGGAAAGUUUUUCGGCUAGGGAUGGACUCGCGGCCUAUCAGCUAGUUGGUGAGGUAACGGCCCACCAAGGCGACGACGGGUA
rnacentral:rRNA from 1 species